UACGUAGGGUGCGAGCGUUGUCCGGAAUUAUUGGGCGUAAAGAGCUUGUAGGCGGUUUGUCGCGUCUGCCGUGAAAAUCCGGGGCUCAACCCCGGACUUGCGGUGGGUACGGGCAGACUAGAGUGUGGUAGGGGAGACUGGAAUUCCUGGUGUAGCGGUGAAAUGCGCAGAUAUCAGGAGGAACACCGAUGGCGAAGGCAGGUCUCUGGGCCACUACUGACGCUGAGGCGCGAAAGCGUGGGGAGCAAACGGG
rnacentral:rRNA from 1 species